UUUUUCUUCUCCUCCUCCUCUUCUUCUUCUUCCUUUCCUUUUUCCUCUUCUUCUUCUCCUCCUCUCCUCUUUUUUUCUUCUUCUUCUUCUUUCCUCAAACUAAACUAAACCUAAAACUAAACCUAAAUCUAAAACUAAAACUAAAACUAAAACUAAAUCUAAACUAAACAUAAACCUAAAACUAAAAAAACAGAAAAAAGGAAAAAACUAAAUCUAAACCUAAAACUAAACUAAAACUAAACCUAAAACUAAACCUAAAACUAAAACUAAAACUAAUCUAAACUAAACAUAAACCUAAAACUAAAAAACAGAAAAAAGGAAAAAAGAGGAGGUAGAGCUCACCUGGGGCAGGG
rnacentral:lncRNA from 1 species